ACGUGCGACUGGCGGAAAGUGGAGUAUACCACAGGGAGCACGCCUUGGAAGUAAAUGCCGACCGCCUGGGCGCCCC
rnacentral:ncRNA from 1 species